rnacentral:rRNA from 1 species
GACGAACGCUGGCGGCGUGCUUAACACAUGCAAGUCGAGCGGUAAGGCCCUUUCGGGGUACGACGAGCGGCGAACGGGUGAGUAACACGUGGGUGACCUGCCCUCAGCUCUGGGAUAAGCCUGGGAAACCGGGUCUAAUACUGGAUAUGACUCCAUGACGCAUGUUGUGGGGUGGAAAGCCUUGUGCGGCUGAGGAUGGGCCCGCGGCCUAUCAGCUUGUUGGUGGGGGGAU